rnacentral:rRNA from 1 species
UGCGAAUAGCUCAUUACAACAGCCAUUGUUUCUUGGAUCUUACUCUCUACUUGGAUAACUGUGGUAAUUCUAGAGCUAAUACAUGCACUGUAGUCCCGACGUGAGGAGGGGCGCAUUUAUUAGAACUAAACCAAUCGGGUUCGCCCGUUGUUUGGUGACUCUGAAUAACUCCGCAGAUCGCACGGUCUAGCACCGGCGACAGUUCCUUCAAGUGUCUGCCUUAUCAACUUUCGAUGGUAGUUUAUGUGACUACCAUGGUUGUAACGGGUAACGGAGAAUUAGGGUUCGACUCCGGAGAGGGAGCCUGAGAAACGGCUACCACAUCCAAGGAAGGCAGCAGGCGCGCAAAUUACCCACUCUCGGCACGAGGAGGUAGUGACGAAAAAUAACGAGACAGUUCUCUACUGAGGUCUGUCAUCGGAAUGGGUACAAUCUAAACCCUUUAACGAGGAUCUAUUGGAGGGCAAGUCUGGUGCCAGCAGCCGCGGUAAUUCCAGCUCCAAUAGCGUAUAUUAAAGUUGUUGCGGUUAAAAAGCUCGUAGUUGGAUCUCUGGUCUUGUCGGCCGGUCUCCCUCUGGGUAGCACUGGUGUGGGCGGACCCGGACUGCUAGUUGUCCAUGCGUGCCUUUAACCGGGUGCGUAUGGUGGCUAGCGCGUUUACUUUGAAAAAAUUAGAGUGCUCAAAGCAGGCGAGUGCCUGGAUAGUGGUGCAUGGAAUAAUGGAAUAGGACGUCAGUUCUAUUUGUUGGUUCGGAAUUUGACGUAAUGAUUAAGAGGGACAGACGGGGGCAUUCGGUAUUGCUACGCUAGAGGUGAAAUUCUUGGAUCGUAGCAGGACGGACAACUGCGAAAGCAUUUGCCAAGAAUGUUUUCAUUAAUCAGAACGAAAGUUAAAGGUUCGAAAGCGAUCAGAUACCGCC